CCAGGCACCAUCCAGACUUGUUUACGAACUCUAACAUUCCCCUGGCAAAAUGCCAGGUGUUAUUUUGACUUGUUUACAGACUCUAACAUGUGGCAAGGUUGUACAUUUAUAUCACUGGCCUCACUUACUACUUGAGUGCUAGUUGCAGACAUCACAUUUCACUUUUAAACCCUUGCUAAGGAGGACUUUCCUUCACAGGUGCAACAGUUACCACCCAAGCAGCUUCAUGUUGCUGCUGUAAUAUGGCUUAACAUAGAGAAAAUGUUGAAAUUUGGGGAAGGUGUAUUUUUUUUAAAAUUUAAAAUAAAGCAGACUAAUUUGGCACAACACAUAUUGAAUGAAUUGGUGGGACCAGAGACUAGAACCACAGAAACCAGGUUAUACAUAUUUAAAGAGUCAUAUGUAGCUAUAAAAAUAGAAAGAGGAAGCUCAUUGUAUCCUGAUAUGCUUUCUUGUUUAAGAUAAAAUCUUAAGGAAGAGCAAGGCAAAGGAGAAUGUGCAAGAGAAUUUAUAAACAUUUGCACAUAGAGGGUUGUAAUAUCUCUGGAAGGAUAGAAAAUGAAUUGUAGCAUCUCAUGUCUUUAAGAGAAAGAAUUAGGUAUUUGGGGGACAAGGAGAUUUUUCCUGAAUACCAUUUUUUACCUUUUGAAUUCUGUUUUACUUUUUGAAUCUUAUAAUUAUGUUACUUUAAAAAACAUAAACAGUAGAUAAACAGGUAUGGACUUAUUGUGAUUAUUAUUAGUUUUGUAGUGUGCAGAAUAUUUCUUAUUGUAUCCUAAACAAAUUUAGAGGAGAUGUGAAGCCAAGAAGAUGGAGGAAAAUUUUUAUUUUCUCAGUUUUAGAAGGUGUCCUAGUCCACCAGGGCUGCUGAAAGAAACUACCACACAUAAGCUGAAGGGCUUAUGAACAACAUAAAUGUAUUUCUCACAUUUCUAGAACCUGGAAGCCCCAAAUAAAGCACAGUUAGCCUCCCUGUCUGGUGAGUGCUAGCUUCCUGACAUGUACAUAGAUGGCGUCUUCUUGCUGUGUCCUCAAGGUGGCAGAGAGGAAAGGAAUCCCAGAGUCCCAUUCAUGAGUGCUCCACCCUUGUCACCUCAUCUAGUCUGCAUUACCC
rnacentral:lncRNA from 1 species